GCCAAGUGUUUUGUCCCUGGGGUGCUGAAUAGACGGCAAAUCUUUGGCACGGAGAGGGCUCGUGUUUGCUUUGGGAAGGAGAGCUGGCCGGGCUCCCGCCGCGAGCUCUGGACAUCUGAGGAAAGGCUAGCUGGAAAGAAUUACGUCGUGACGCAGGCGGGGGAAAGCCAGGAAAUUCAAACCCAAGGCAGAGGCUCCUACCUUAACUCGUUCUGGCAAGGAAAAAAUAAUUGUGAAGUGUUAACACCGCACACUUGGUUACGAAACGAGCCAGCUUUCAAGAGUUCCUUGGGAGGCUCAAGGUUUUGACCGAUUUAUUGUGAUAGAGGUCGGAGAACUCGUUGGAGGAGUGGGGAAUUUAAACCAUAACUGGAAGAAAAAUUAUGGAUUGCCAUUGUCAAGUACUGCGUGUUUUUGCAACUGCCUUGGCAUGGUCCUUUUGCUAAACCCCUUCUAAUAUUCUAUUAUUAUCUCUGUAUCCUUUGAGGGAUAAAGGAUCCUUCUUUCUCUCCUACUAAUUUUGUUCCACCUGCUUUGCAACAUCGCAAAGCCUUGGGGUUCCCUCAUCUCGUUUUUUGUACGCUCGACAUUGCAAAAGCCCAGCUGCUUCGUAGGGUAACGGUUAAACUGCCAUUAGGAGGAUGCAAGAUUUUAUCGCAAGCAUUUGAUGGGAAAUGCUUCUGCAGCCGGACUCGCAGCUCUUCCCCUUCGCAAAAGGAAGACGCGUUGCCUGCUUCAUCUGCUAAAGGGAACAUGUGGUUUUAUCUCACUGUCUGGUCUUCAAUGUUCGCCUGUAGUGGAAGAAAGGACCCCCGCGUCCAGCGCGAGCAGCUGUGUUUUGCAGCCAGAGGACAAGAACAGCUCGAGCCCUGGAGGGGCUGAACUUGCCUCUCGCAGCUUCCCCCCGCGGGUCCCCAGAGCAGGUCCUGCGGGGCCGAGCUUCAAAGCGCCGUCGCGGUGCAGGGUCUCCGCACGGUGUGGGGCCUCCGCUUCCUAUGUCGCUUGAGUUGAGCAGCUGCCGGGGAGGUGGUGCCUCGCGGCCGCCCUCGUCCUCCCUCUGCUCGCUGGGAAGCGGCGGGAUAACCAGGAGCAACGAGCAGGAGUUGCAGAAGCCAGGUCGUCUCCAGUUUUUUGGAACAGAAGUCGAGGUACAUUUAUGGGAUGAAAAGGAUGAAGGAAGGUGACUCGAGGGCAGCUUGUGCCUCAUUGCACCAGGGCGAAGCACCUCAGCUUCUGCCCUUAGCAGCCUCGCUGCUGCUUGGACUGUAACUGGUCCAAAGGGUCAUAGCUUGAAUGUUGAAAUUCCAGUUUUUUGCCUGUUUUCCAGGCGGGUGUACAGCAAUACUCGUUUGUGAUGCAGAGUACCCCCGCUUCAUCCGUUUGCUUCCCACCCUGUGCAAAUGGAUGGCAAGGAAGCCGAGCGUCGGUGGUCACCGCACCCGCGGCAAGGCCGUGCUGGAGCAGAAGCCAGCUGGACUUCUUGUGACAUUGCAGUAAUUUACGCCCCGAGUAGGGCCAGGAGGGGAUGGUGUCUCCUGAGGUGCAUGCCUGAGUCGUGGUGGCACUUCAUGACGCUCCCAGCGUGGUGCUAGCCCUGCUUUUGCAGGAUAUCAGCUUUUCUGCCUUAACGGGUGAACUGCUGCUCGCCAGACCGCGUCCGUCCCUUUUGCACAGAAUAAGCUGCCUGCAGGCAACGGGGCUCGGCUUGAAGAGGGCAGAGACUGCUCGAAAAGCUGGGAAAAGCCCCAGGGCCCAGCUCCACGGGCCGUUUGUGUCCUCAGCCCGAGCGCUUGGGGACCCUUGCGUGCGGGGCCUGUCCCCCUCCGUGGCCCUGCAGAGCGACGUGGUGACGGCGUCCCGCGGCCGGGGCGGUGACAGGACACACGGGGCACUCGGUGACUUCUCUUUGAAGGCAACGUUGCUAAAGAUUUAAAAAUGUGAAGCAAUCGUGCUGCGUGUUUCCUAACAAAAGGGCUUCCAGGAGCUGGGUCCAAACCAGCAACGUCAUCGUGAAAGCAAAUGGAGGCCACCGCGCUAAAGGGCAACGAAAGGCACGUGAGAACGGAGCGAGGUCAGGAGAUGCCGAUUUCGGGAGUCUCCUUUUUCCCUGCGUCCCCAAGGGCGGACGGGAAGGUCCGCGGGACUGCCUGGUUCCCGCAUCUCUGAUCCGCUACCUGGCCAUCGUGCUGUGCCCGCGGGCCAGGGACGGACUGUUGGGGACCAGGGACGGCCGCGGGCGGCUGUACCCGGCUCCUGCAGACACUGCAGCCCGCGGUCCCAUGGUUGCACAAACGUUAGCGUCAGUGCCAAGAAAAGCGGUGGGAGCGUAGGGCUGGGAUGAAGGGGAAGGAUGGUCCCUUUUCGGCUGGCUUUUAUCCUCCUGAAAUGCCUGUGGUGCUGCGUCCUGUGCAAGCGGGUUGAGCGGCCGGUUUCUGACUCGGGCUCGGUAUUGCCUCCUCGCCUCCGCCCUGGGAAUGGCCCAUCGCCCCGCGUCCCACCGGCUGUCGAGCUGCAAAGCGAGCAACGGCCUCCGCGUUUUCUAAAUGGAUUUCUGCCGCGAUAAGUGCUUUCAUUACUGGAAGGGUCUGCGGCGUUGCAGGUGGUGAUGGGGCGCCAGGGAGACGAGCUGACUUGCUCCAUCAGUGAAUCCCUCGUUUUGGGGACCAGGGCACAGCUCGGAGGGCGAACUCGGCUCGUAGGGGUACCGCUGCCUGCUCUAGCCGGGAAACGGAGCCAACGGCAGCGCUGAUGAAACGCCAGGCCCACAAACCCUGUUCCUCCGCUUUUAAUUUGGGUCUAGAUCAGUUCCUGGGAUACGAAUGUCCCACAGUCAAGGAAUACGCAAGGGAUUUUAAAUAAGGCCACGCUACAUCCAAAAUCAGGACCUGGGCUCCUCUGUAAAAAUGCCAAGUUAAUUAUUUAUACUGCUAGAGCCGUUCCUCUGGACGGAAAGAGGGAAAUCGAUAGCAGAGCAACGAUGACCCGUGUCAGCCCGCGCUCCUGUCACCAGCCUCCUGGCACCAUCUCCUGCCACUCCAGUCUGUGCAGCAGCCCGUCAGCCCCCGCUGAAAACUCAGCUGGGUGGUUUCUCUUGACAAUAAGCCUCAAAAUGUUCCGGUUUUCUGCCUUGUAGGCAGGAGGGGUGCGAGCCCGGCUGUAGAGAAGGUGCAGCGCAGCUCCGAGUCUUAGAAAACAUUUGCUGUGUGAAACUAUACGUUAGAAUUUCUAUAGGUUUGGAUGUUGUGCAGAUAAUGGCCUUUUGCAGUAACGUGUACACACGCAUGCACGUGCUAUCUUGCAUGCAUAUUUAUUCAGUGGCAAGACAGAUAGCUUGGAAGAGAACCAUGUUUGCAAAGGGCUGCAAUGGCAAAUGUUUUCUUCUCAUGUCUGCGUUACACAGCACGUAACAGAAGCCGAGAUAUCACUGGGAAUCUGUAGGAAAUGUAAUUUAUUCUAUCAAUGUCAAAUACACAUACAAAACAG